UAUCUGGCCGGGUCACUUGCCCAGCAGCUGCAGCUGCACGGCACGGCUCUACAGUAGAGCUGCGCGGCCACGCAUCCAACUUCUGCCGCCGCGGCGAUUUCUUGUUAUACUUGGCCAAACGGGCGGCCCAGCUCUGGCACUAUACGGCACUAUGCGGCACUAUGUCUAUCGUGCCGUGCCGUCUCGGGCCAUCGUGCCAAACUCUCGGCCCAGACACGGCACUAUGGCUCUUUAACCGUGCCGAUAGGCACGGUGGUCCAUCGUGCCCGUGCCGGCCCAUGGCUUUGGGAGAAGUCGAGAAGCUCACUGCGCCCUGCCUCAUGGAGAAGACGAGCGCCACCCCUGUCGUAUAGUCAGGCGGGAGAAAGAGUGUGGCCUCAGCAAGGAUGCGUCUACGUCGCCGACUAGGGAGUUAGGGUUUGAAAGGGUUGUGUGAUGCUUAUAUACAUGACUCAGAAUACAUUCAAUGGUCAUGAUCUAUCCUCAAAGCAUCAGACGAUGGAAAUAA